UAGAAUGUCUUAUAUGCGAUGACACGCAAUCAAUACAACUUUCAACAACGGAUCUCUUGGCUCUCGCAUCGAUGAAGAACGCAGCGAAAUGCGAUACGUAAUGUGAAUUGCAGAAUUCAGUGAAUCAUCGAAUCUUUGAACGCACCUUGCGCCCCUUGGCAUUCCGAGGGGCACACCCGUUUGAGUGUCGUGACAUCCUCAACCUUCUUGGUUUUCUUGAUCAAGAAGGCUUGGAAUCUGGAGGUUUUUGCUGGCCUCCCUUUCGAAGCCAGCUCCUCUUAAACGAAUUAGUGGGUUUGACCUUUGUCGAUCCUCGACGUGAUAAGAUGUUUCUACGUCUUGGGA
rnacentral:misc_RNA from 1 species